rnacentral:rRNA from 1 species
GGACGGGUGAGUAACAUUUAGGAAUCUGCCUAGUAGUGGGGGAUAGCUCGGGGAAACUCGAAUUAAUACCGCAUACGACCUACGGGUGAAAGGGGGCGCAAGCUCUUGCUAUUAGAUGAGCCUAAAUCAGAUUAGCUAGUUGGUGGGGUAAAGGCCCACCAAGGCGACGAUCUGUAACUGGUCUGAGAGGAUGAUCAGUCACACCGGAACUGAGACACGGUCCGGACUCCUACGGGAGGCAGCAGUGGGGAAUAUUGGACAAUGGGGGCAACCCUGAUCCAGCCAUGCCGCGUGUGUGAAGAAGGCCUUUUGGUUGUAAAGCACUUUAAGCAGGGAGGAGAGGCUAAUGGUUAAUACCCAUUAGAUUAGACGUUACCUGCAGAAUAAGCACCGGCUAACUCUGUGCCAGCAGCCGCGGUAAUACAGAGGGUGCGAGCGUUAAUCGGAAUUACUGGGCGUAAAGCGAGUGUAGGUGGCUCAUUAAGUCACAUGUGAAAUCCCCGGGCUUAACCUGGGAACUGCAUGUGAUACUGGUGGUGCUAGAAUAUGUGAGAGGGAAGUAGAAUUCCAGGUGUAGCGGUGAAAUGCGUAGAGAUCUGGAGGAAUACCGAUGGCGAAGGCAGCUUCCUGGCAUAAUAUUGACACUGAGAUUCGAAAGCGUGGGUAGCAAACAGGAUUAGAUACCCUGGUAGUCCACGCCGUAAACGAUGUCUACUAGCCGUUGGGGUCCUUGAGACUUUAGUGGCGCAGUUAACGCGAUAAGUAGACCGCCUGGG